rnacentral:rRNA from 1 species
GGAUCCAGACUUUGAUUCUGGCUCAGGACGAACGCUGGCGGCGUGCUUAACACAUGCAAGUCGAACGGGGUGUUUAUUUCGGUAAACACCAAGUGGCGAACGGGUGAGUAACGCGUAAGCAAUCUACCUUCAAGAUGGGGACAACACUUCGAAAGGGGUGCUAAUACCGAAUGAAUGUAAGAGUAUCGCAUGAGACACUUACUAAAGGAGGCCUCUGAAAAUGCUUCCGCUUGAAGAUGAGCUUGCGUCUGAUUAGCUAGUUGGUGAGGGUAAAGGCCCACCAAGGCGACGAUCAGUAGCCGGUCUGAGAGGAUGAACGGCCACAUUGGGACUGAGACACGGCCCAGACUCCUACGGGAGGCAGCAGUGGGGAAUCUUCCGCAAUGGGCGAAAGCCUGACGGAGCAACGCCGCGUGAACGAUGAAGGUCUUAGGAUCGUAAAGUUCUGUUGUUAGGGACGAAGGGUAAGGAUCAUAAUAAGGUUUUUAUUUGACGGUACCUAACGAGGAAGCCACGGCUAACUACGUGCCAGCAGCCGCGGUAAUACGUAGGCGGCAAGCGUUGUCCGGAAUUAUUGGGCGUAAAGGGAGCGCAGGCGGGAAACUAAGCGGAUCUUAAAAGUGCGGGGCUCAACCCCGUGAUGGGGUCCGAACUGGUUUUCUUGAGUGCAGGAGAGGAAAGCGGAAUUCCCAGUGUAGCGGUGAAAUGCGUAGAUAUUGGGAAGAACACCAGUGGCGAAGGCGGCUUUCUGGACUGUAACUGACGCUGAGGCUCGAAAGCUAGGGUAGCGAACGGGAUUAGAUACCCCGGUAGUCCUAGCCGUAAACGAUGGAUACUAGGUGUGGGAGGUAUCGACUCCUUCCGUGCCGGAGUUAACGCAAUAAGUAUCCCGCCUGGGGAGUACGGCCGACAAGGUUGCAACUCAAAU